CGAGCAUACCAAAACAUGCAACAGCGAUUUCCAUACAGACACCGAAGUUAAGCAAUGCCGAGCCUUGUUAGUACCUAGAUGGGUGACUACUUGGGCAUACCAGGUGUUGUAAG